GAUGAACGCUGGCGGCGUGCUUAACACAUGCAAGUCGAACGGUGAAGGCGGAGCUUGCUCUGCUGGAUCAGUGGCGAACGGGUGAGUAACACGUGAGCAAUCUGCCCCUGACUCUGGGAUAAGCGCUGGAAACGGCGUCUAAUACUGGAUACGAGCUGCGAAGGCAUCUUCAGCAGCUGGAAAGAACUUCGGUCAGGGAUGAGCUCGCGGCCUAUCAGCUUGUUGGUGAGGUAACGGCUCACCAAGGCGUCGACGGGUAGCCGGCCUGAGAGGGUGACCGGCCACACUGGGACUGAGACACGGCCCAGACUCCUACGGGAGGCAGCAGUGGGGAAUAUUGCACAAUGGGCGAAAGCCUGAUGCAGCAACGCCGCGUGAGGGACGACGGCCUUCGGGUUGUAAACCUCUUUUAGCAGGAAAGAAGCGAAAGUGACGGUACCUGCAGAAAAAGCGCCGGCUAACUACGUG
rnacentral:rRNA from 1 species